AUUGUUCAGAUAGACCCUUCGUUUGAGGGGUUGGAUGGUGGAGUAGGCAGCUUGGUGAAAUGGAAUCCUGUUGCUAAUGUGGAUGGCAGUGAUAUUUGGAAUUUCUUGCGAGCCAUGAAUGUUCCAGUGAAUUCAUUGCAUUCACAAGGUUAUGUUUCCAUUGGAUGUGAACCUUGCACACGAGCUGUCCUACCUGGCCAACACGAGCGAGAAGGAAGGUGGUGGUGGGAGG
rnacentral:misc_RNA from 1 species